CACAUGCAAGUCGAGGGGCAGCAUCAUUAAAGCUUGCUUUGAUGGAUGGCGACCGGCGCACGGGUGAGUAACACGUAUCCAACCUGCCGACAACACUGGGAUAGCCUUUCGAAAGAAAGAUUAAUACCGGAUGGCAUAGUUUUCCCGCAUGGGAUAAUUAUUAAAGAAUUUCGGUUGUCGAUGGGGAUGCGUUCCAUUAGGCAGUUGGCGGGGUAACGGCCCACCAAACCAACGAUGGAUAGGGGUUCUGAGAGGAAGGUCCCCCACAUUGGAACUGAGACACGGUCCAAACUCCUACGGGAGGCAGCAGUGAGGAAUAUUGGUCAAUGGACGAGAGUCUGAACCAGCCAAGUAGCGUGAAGGAUGACUGCCCCAUGGGUUGUAAACUUCUUUUAUACGGGAAUAAAGUGAGCCACGUGUGGCUUUUUGUAUGUACCGUAUGAAUAAGGAUCGGCUAACUCCGUGCCAGCAGCCGCGGUAAUACGGAGGAUCCGAGCGUUAUCCGGAUUUAUUGGGUUUAAAGGGAGCGUAGGCGGGUUGUUAAGUCAGUUGUGAAAGUUUGCGGCUCAACCGUAAAAUUGCAGUUGAUACUGGCGACCUUGAGUGCAACAGAGGUAGGCGGAAUUCGUGGUGUAGCGGUGAAAUGCUUAGAUAUCACGAAGAACUCCGAUUGCGAAGGCAGCUUACUGGAUUGUAACUGACGCUGAUGCUCGAAAGUGUGGGUAUCAAACAGGAUUAGAUACCCUGGUAGUCCACACAGUAAACGAUGAAUACUCGCUGUUGGCGAUAUACGGUCAGCGGCCAAGCGAAAGCAUUAAGUAUUCCACCUGGGGAGUACGCCGGCAACGGUGAAACUCAAAGGAAUUGACGGGGGCCCGCACAAGCGGAGGAACAUGUGGUUUAAUU
rnacentral:rRNA from 1 species